rnacentral:rRNA from 1 species
GACGAACGCUGGCGGCGUGCCUAACACAUGCAAGUCGAACGGAACUGUUUUGAAAGAUUUCUUCGGAAUGAAUUUGAUUUAGUUUAGUGGCGGACGGGUGAGUAACGCGUGAGUAACCUGCCUUCAAGGGGGGAAUAACAUUCUGAAAAGAAUGCUAAUACCGCAUGACAUAUCGGAACCACAUGGUUUUGAUAUCAAAGAUUUUAUCGCUUGAAGAUGGACUCGCGUCCGAUUAGUUAGUUGGUGAGGUAACGGCUCACCAACACCGCGAUCGGUAGCCGGACUGAGAGGUUGAACGGCCACAUUGGGACUGAGACACGGCCCAGACUCCUACGGGAGGCAGCAGUGGGGGAUAUUGCGCAAUGGGGGCAACCCUGACGCAGCAACGCCGCGUGAAGGAUGAAGGUUUUCGGAUUGUAAACUUCUUUUAUUAAGGACGAAAAAUGACGGUACUUAAUGAAUAAGCUCCGGCUAACUACGUG